rnacentral:rRNA from 1 species
AUGCUGUCGCUCAGGCGCAUUCUCCGCCUACCCGUGCCCUCCUCCUGCGGCCCCCGCCGCCUCCUCUCAUCCCACCGCCGCGCUCCAGCGCACCCGGCCGCGGCCACCGGGGACGACGAGUGGAACGACGCGUGGGAGACCGCAUGGCUCCCGGGCGACUCCCCCGCCUCCUCGCCGGCACCCGCCGCGCCGUGGGAGUCCCCCACCUCGGAAGCCGUCGCGGCCACCGUCCCGGCCAUAUCCGCCGAGGUGGACCCUGACACGAAGGCCUUCGUCGCCGACAUGGACGAGCGCUGGGCCGAACGCCGCGCCGCGACGAGGCGGCCGCGCGCUCCUCCUCGCCCCACGGCCGCCGAGGGAGGGGGCGGCGCCGGGGCGAAGAAGGCAGGGGCGGACGAGUACAGGACAAGGAAGCAGCGCGUGCACGCUGCGCUUUGGGUGAAGGAGAUCGACAAGAUGGAGGAGGCGCGCCUUGGCGGCGGCGGUGGUGGCCGCGGCGCAGCAGACGACAUCGACCGGCUUCUUGACUCGUGCUCAGAGAUCUUUGAUUCCGGCAACGCUGAUUUUGGCGAUUCGAAGAUUCCAAGCACUGGUGAGAUUAAAACCAAGCCGGAUGGUUGGGAAACUACCUCGAGGGGUCAGGACGGUAACAUAUGGGAGAUCUCACAGCGUGAGGAGGACAUCCUUCUCCAAGAAUUUGAGAGGCGCAUUGCUUUCAGCAAACAGCAGAUUGCUAGCUUCAUCAAAACUCACAUAUUUAGUCGAAGACGGCCUAUCGACGGGUGGAAGUACAUGAUUGAAGAAAUCGGCCCCAACGCAAGGAAAGGGAAGGGGAGCGUACAGAGACUGCCAAGUGUGACUGAUCCGGCUACGCAGCCGUUCAGGGAGGAGUCGCCUGCAAUUGCCUCUGCUGGUUCCUCCUCUCCUCCCCCCUUCAGAGGAAACCGACAUUACUGA